UGUGUUGCUGUGAAAAUGUCGAUGGACGUGUUUUGGGGUAUUUCUAAUUUAAAUAAAGCGAAUUAAAACCGUGGAUUUUUUAAUAAGUGUAAAACUAACAGAGAAGAGACGGUAACGGGACAGAUGCAGAAACCAGAAGGCUGUUGGUAACAGAAGAGGAGUUUAUUUACAUGUGUGCUCUCACAUAUACACCACCUUUACAUGGAUAUUAUAUUAUGGGAAAUAGCAAAGUGCGCUUAUACCUUUGCAUUAUUUGUAUUUUUCGAACUGUUGUUGGAGCUGGGAUCUUCUUUCCUAAAGGCCAGGGAGGAUUACGCAUGAGCGUGAUUUGGUUAUUGCGAUGCACUGCGCAGUUUCCAGCGUUGUUUCCAACGUUACCCGGAAAUAAGCAACCUCUCUCAGCUGUUUCCUUAUAAAACAGCAGAGUGGGGAGGGGGUGUGCUUUUGGAUCAUUGUGUCGGAGUCAGAGAGAGGACAGAGCAGCGGAGCAGGAGGAUGGAGAGGAGUGAGUGUGUGUGUGUGUGCGUGCGUGUGUGUGUGUGUGUGUGUGUGUGUGUGUGUGUGUGUGUGUGUGUGUGUGUGUGUGUGUGUGUGUGUUCUGCAGGAGGAUGUUGCGCACUUCACUUUUUUCCUCAGCAGUGAGUUGUGUUUGCAUCCAUCUGCUGCUGCGUGAGGAUCCAACGCAUGUGCGGCAUGUUGUUAGAGGGUAGGUUUCAGAUAGUUAGGUACGUUAUUGAUCCUGAAUUGGGAAAUUCUCGAAGUCUACUUUACUCUUUUUAUUACAGGUUGUGCACUUCACUUUUCCUCAGCAGUAGGUAUCUAGUCUUUCCAGGUGCUGCUAAUUUGAUGCAAGUUAUUUUUGUAAUGACUUGCGUACUUCACUUUUCCUCAGCAGUGAGUAGUGUUUGCAUCCCUGUGCUGCUGCGUGGUGGUUUAAUGCAUGUGUUGCAUGUUGUUAUUGUGUAUAGCCAUAGUCAUUUUUUAUCAUCAUAAAAAAAAUGUAUCCCUUAACUUCAUGUUGCACAGGACAGGGAUACUACUUUGAACUGUAUUGUUGUUACUUUUUCUAUCUUUACCUAGCAGCCACAGUCGCCCAAAUUGGGGACUACUUACAGGAUUAAUAGACAAUAUCACGUAGACAUAGGUCCUGAAUUUCCUUUUUGGUUUCCAUGGAGGCUACUUUCUUUAUUCUAAAUAUGUGUUUCCUUAAACGCAGCAGAGGAACACCUGGCUUAUCUACGUGCGUUCCUAUCGCACUUGUGGGAGUGUGAAAUGCUGUGUCAUGUUGUCCUAUUUCUAGCUCAGCAUACUGUAUUUAAAUCAUAAGAUAUGUAAAGUUAUUUUUUGCAAUAUUCACAUUUUGCUGCAUGUGUUCCUUAAGGUAACAUGAUGUUUUCCCCGGGUUUCAGUGCCAGAAAUGUGUGUCUUUGUGUCUAAAAAGUAUUAUAUGAUGUUCUUCAUGAUAUUCAUUUAGUAGUGCGUACACCUGCUGACUGGUUUCUGCCAGAGCUACUUCCAUCCAGAGGUUUCUAUCAUACGCACUUUUUAUUUCUGAUGUAAACAAACCCUCCAGCUGCAGUACCGUCUCUGAACACAGGGGGUCGGGCAGCUGCAGUACCCGCUCUGGACACAGAGGGGCGGGAUUGUGCAGAAGGAGAACAUGCAUCGGUAAUACAAACAAAGAUGGCUGCAGUCUGUUGACCAAUCGAUGAUCUGACGGCUUCAGAGGCUCCUCGGUGAGGUUUACGUUACAGAUGAAGACCCUCUGAAGGAGUGACUGAAGCGUAACACACCCUCGCCCUCCUCACCUUACCUGGGAGCAGCAGAGAGAGAGAGGACUGCAGGUGAGUCUGAAGACAGGUAGCAGCAGUUUAAUUCAGAUUUGAGGACGUCACCGCCGGAGGCCCCUCCUCAGACUGGCCCCCCUUGGAGGCUGGUUUCAGGUGGUGGCUUAGAGUCUCUUCAUCUGUCUAGCACCAUUUGAAAUCAGUGUUCUUGGGGCGGGGAGUGUGUUUCUGUGUGGAGGAGUCCGGACCCCAGAGUCAGAUGUUCAGUGUCCUCUCUCCGAGGGUGACCGCUUUCUGCUGGUGCUCAGAGUCUGUCUGCGUCUAGCACCAUCUGAACGUGGUUACAGGGAAGGACAGACCUCACCCCCCCUCCAGCAGGACUCACAAAGUCAGGAGGCCCCUCCUCAGACCGACCCCCCUUGGAGGCUGGUUUCAGGUGGUGGCUUAGAGUCUCUUCAUCUGUCUAGCACCAUUUGAAAUCAGUGUUCUUGGGGUGGGGAGUGUGUUUCUGUGUGGAGGAGUCCGGACCCCAGAGUCAGAUGUUCAGUGUCCUCUCUCCGAGGGUGACCGCUUUCUGCUGGUGCUCAGAGUCUGUCUGCGUCUAGCACCAUCUGAACGUGGUUACAGGGAAGGACAGACCUCACCCCCCCCCCCUCCAGCAGGACUCACAAAGUCAGGAGGCCCCUCCUCAGACUGGCCCCCCUUGGAGGCUGGUUUCAGGUGGUGGCUUAGAGUCUCUUCAUCUGUCUAGCACCAUUUGAAAUCAGUGUUCUUGGCGUGGGGAGUGUGUUUCUGUGUGGAGGAGUCCGGACCCCAGAGUCAGAUGUUCAGUGUCCUCUCUCCGAGGGUGACCGCUUUCUGCUGGUGCUCAGAGUCUGUCUGCGUCUAGCACCAUCUGAACGUGGUUACAGGGAAGGACAGACCUCACCCCCCCCUCCAGCAGGAUACUGUAAUACUGUAGUUUAAAUAAAGUCAGACUGGAGCACUGCUUUGUGCAGCUGUCAAAGUAUUUGGAAAAAUUGAAUCGAGUCGAUCAUCUUCUGUAAUUCGCUCUAUUUUAAUGAACCGUACUUUAUUAUACGUCUUAUUUCAUGUUGACAUGUCAGAGUCUAUCUGCUGGGGAAGUCUUUAAAUGCUGCUGUUGUUGUUGUUGUUGUUGUUGUUUGCAGUGGUAAACAAACAUGUGUUAAGAUAAACUUCCAAACUGAUCUGUGUACUUGUACAUGUUAUAUUUAAAUGUGAGAAUAUUCAUUGUUGUUUGACUGUCAAAUGAAUCUGUUUUAAAAUAAAUGUUCAGAAACUG